GAUGAAGAACGUAGCGAAAUGCGAUACGUAGUGUGAAUUGCAGAAUUCAGUGAAUCAUCGAAUCUUUGAACGCACAUUGCGCCCGCCAGCAUUCUGGCGGGCAUGCCUGUUCGAGCGUCAUUUCAACCCUCAAGCUCUGCUUGGUGUUGGGGCCCUACGGUUGACGUAGGCCCUUAAAGGUAGUGGCGGACCCUCUCGGAGCCUCCUUUGCGUAGUAACUAACGUCUCGCAUUGGGAUUCGGAGGGACUCUUGCCGUAAAACCCCCAAAUUUUCUAAUGGUUGACCUCGGAUCAGGUAGGAAUACCCGCUGAACUUAAGCAUAUCAAUAAGCGGAGGA
rnacentral:misc_RNA from 1 species